UUUAUAUGAUGACAAUUCAGUUCUGCUACUGAAUGCUAGUUGUGGAAAUUAAACACCAAAACUUCUGAAAA